ACAGUUGCUCGAUAAACUUUAAAAAGUUAUAUACAUUUAAAAGGAGAUCUUAGUCCAAACUAAGUUUUAUAUUUAUUUCUCAAUUACAAAAACACAUUUAAAAUAAAGGUUUGAUUCCUCAAAAAAUUUAGGUUGGGAUUAUGGGAUUAAAUAUGCAAGAAGGAGAGUUUUCCCCAAUAUAAAGAAAUGUACCUAUAAAAAAAGCCAUUAAAAGUCUUUGCUAUCCAUUUGAACUGAUAUGAAAACUUCAAAAUUUAUGUUUUUAUGAGCUUUGCAAACCAUAUGUGAUUUUUUUUUGUUUUGUUUCAUAUGUUCUUUAGGAAUUGGAGGAAAAGGGAUGACCAUCAUGACUUAAGUGAAUUACUAAAGAAAAUCUAACUAAUACUGCCUGAGACUUUAAGUGAGAAACACAGGAUGCAACCUAAGAUAAGAACAAGAGAGGAAUCUAGAAAUGAGUGACAGAAAAGGAGAUGGUAAGGAUGCUGCAGAGGAUGCUCACUGGUAAAACGAUCAGAAAUCAGCUUACAGUCAGCUUAACGGCUCCUGGUCCUGAGACAGAACAGAAAACUCCAAGAAUGGAUUCAAUACCAGCUUCACCCCCAUCAAGCCCUGGGUCAAUAGCUGAUGACAGUGAACCAGAUUACAAUGACGACAGAGG